UACGAAGGGGGCUAGCGUUGCUCGGAAUCACUGGGCGUAAAGGGUGCGUAGGCGGGUCUUUAAGUCAGGGGUGAAAUCCUGGAGCUCAACUCCAGAACUGCCUUUGAUACUGAGAUCUUGAGUCGGGAGAGUGAGUGGAACUGCGAGUGUAGAGGUGAAAUUCGUAGAUAUUCGCAAGAACACCAGUGGCGAAGGCGGCUCACUGGCCCGGUACUAGACUGCUGAGGCACGAAAGCGUGGGAGCAACAGG
rnacentral:rRNA from 1 species